GACGAACGCUGGCGGCGUGCCUAACACAUGCAAGUGGAGCGACGAACCAGGCUUCGGCCUGGGGCAGAGCCGCGAACGGGUGAGUAACACGUGGGUAACCUGCCCUGAUGAUUGGGACAACCCGAGGAAACUCGGGCUAAUACCAAAUGUGCCCUCCGACCAUAAGGUCGCUGGGGAAAGGAAGCUUCGGCCUCCGCAUCGGGA
rnacentral:rRNA from 1 species